AAUAAAUAUGAGUGUUGAGACUCAUGUGCAUAUUUUUUAUUUUAAUUAAACAACUUGUCUAUUAUUCUUGUCGGGUAGGAUCAACACAUUAAUUAGUCUUUAUAAUGCAAUCUAUAUAAAAGGUGCUUCGAAAGGAAGUAAUUCAUCCAUCUAAAAAAUUUUGUUUUUAAAGUUUAUUCAACUUUUUCUUGAAAAUAAUGGCAUCUUUGAAGUUUUUCAUCUGCUUAUUCUUUUUAAUUAUGACUCAUGUCUAUGUUGAAGGAGCUGUUGAUCGAUUGUCAACUACCAUUGACAAUAAUAGCAAAGCGGCGGGUUGCGAAACGGGUUUACUGUGCCGAUAUGGAUGUUGCGAGUGCAUCGACUUUGAAUGCAGGAAAUGUUGUGCUGCGAAAGAGAUUAUUACAAGCUCCUUUGGGAUUGAUGCGACCAAACCUUAAUGAUGGAUGGUUCAGCAGGGCAUGGCAAUAUUGAUCUACAACCAUGUUUGUUCUUAAACUUUAUAUGUUUAUUUUGAUGGGAAAAUGCUUCAUGUACCUGCAUUAAUUUAUUCUAUUGGAAGAAUAAAAAUGUAAUAAAAUAAUAAUUCCCUUUUA